rnacentral:lncRNA from 1 species
AUGCACACCCCGGUGCACACAUGCAUACACAUGCAGGCAUGCACACCCCAGUGCGCACACAUGCACACACACAUGAACACACACCCAUGCACACCGCAGGGCACACUCAUGCACACCCCCACGCACACUCCCCAGUGCACACACACAUGCAUGCCCCAGUGCGCACACAUGCACACCCCCAUGCACACCCCCAUUGCACGCAGAUGCACCCACACACGCACCCCCAGUGCACACACUCAUGCACACCUGUGUGCAUACACGCGUGUGCACACACCCAGUGCACACACAUGCACACCCCCAUGCACCCUGCCAGUGCACACGUGCACACACACCCCCAGUGCCCCCAUGCACAAGCACACACACCCAUGCACACACACCCCCAUGCACACCCCCAUGCAUGCACAUACAUGUACCCAUGCACAUGCACACCCCCAUGCAUGCACACAACCAUGCACACACACUCUGCACACAUCCGCACACCCAUGCACACGCGCACACCCACACAUGCACACCCACAUACAUGCACCCAUGCACACCCAUGCACACACACUGCACACACGCACACCCCCAUACAUGCACACCCCCAUGCAUGCACACCCCUGCACACCCACGUGUAUGCACACGCCCAUACAUGCACACCCCCAUGAAUGCACACCCAUGCACACCAACAUGUAUGCACACGCCCCUACAUGCACACCCCCAUGCAUGCACACCCAUGCAUGCACACACGCGCACCCAUACACACGCAGACACCCAUGCACGCACACACCCGUGCAUGCAGACACCCAUGCAUGCACACGCACACCCAUGUGUAUGCACACCCCCAUACAUGCACACCCAUGCAUGCAUACCCAUGCACACCCAUGUGUAUGCACACCCCCAUACAUGCACACCCAUACAUGCACACCCAUACAUGCACACCCCCAUACAUGCACACCCAUGCAUGCACACCCAUGCACACCCAUGUGUAUGCAGACACCCAUACAUGCACACCCAUACAUGCACACCCCCAUACAUGCACGCACGUGCACCCAUGCACACGCAGACACCCAUGCAUGCACACACCCGUGCAUGCAGACACCCAUGCAUGCACACCCAUGCACACCCAUGCGUAUGCACACCCCCAUACAUGCACACCCAUGCACACCCAUACAUGCACACCCCCAUACAUGCAC